UUAAUUUUUUUUUUUUUUAAGUAAUCUCUACACCCAAUGUGGGACUCGAACUUAUUACCCCUAGAUCAAGAGUCGUGUGCUCCUUUAUUUUCGGUAGCUUACUUUAUACUAAGAAUAUGGUAUGUAAUACACAUAGCAUAUAAAAUAUGUGUGAGUCAACUGUUUACGUAAUUGGUGAGGUUUGUGGUGAACAGUAGGCCAGUAGUAGUCAAGUUUUGGUGGAGUCGAAAGUUAUAUGUGGAUUUUUGACUGUGCAGGGAGGGAAGUUGAUGCCUCUAACCCCUGUGUUCAGCGGUCAACUGCAUAUAUAAAUAUUAACUUAAACGUUUCCUCUCUGCCCUACAGAAAAGAUUGAAACAUCCUCACUUUUGAUGUUGUGGGCAGUGUCAUCCAUGGCUCUGCCGUUGCCAGAUGCUGAUCUCAUGGGAAUGUGUUUUCUGGCUUCCCAGAAGUCAGUCUCUGGAAGACGAGCCUGUCCCUGUCAUGCCUCCUAGGACUGACCCAGUGAUGUUGCCACUUUGCUGGCCUGUUGUGAAAGAUGUGGCUCCUGAAGCAUCUCUUCUUCUCUUGGGCCUCAUUCAAGCACCAUAUCCUCUGUUUUCCCACAAGAGAAAUACCAAUAUCUGCAGCACUCCAGCAGGGAGCAUAACAGCUAAGAAAUUAUGUUAGCAGCCUAUAAGAUGCUGACUCAGAAGUUUUGUGUGGGCUGCAGCCUUGCCCCAGGGUUCCAAGUGACCUUACUCCAUAGAGGCAGCUGUAUUCCCAUGGGAUUCCAGUUAUUUCCCUGAUUGUAAAGGGGUAUGUCCUCUUUCAAAAAAAAGUCAUACCCUACCAGCUAUACAAAGUAAAAUGGGAGCUCCCAUAACCCUUCUGGCAGGCUGAUGGCCACCAAGAUUUCUGCCCCUGCAUACAUACCUGUGUCAUCUGUUCCCGUAGUUGUGUGUGGGACCAUGGGGCUAAAUGUGAAGGGAUUUUGCCAAUGUAAUACAAGUCCCUAAUCAGUUGACUUGGAGUUCAUCAAACGAGAGCGAUCCUGGAUGGGCCUGACCCAGUCAGGAGAGCCCCCAAGUGGGACCAGGCCCCUCCUGAAGAGGUUAGCUGACAUGUUUGGUGGGGCCCAUGGCUGGGAACCGGGGGUGGCCUCCAGGAGUUGAGUGUGACCCCAGCCAAGGAUGGGAAUUCUCCAGUAACCUCAGGAACGUAAGGAGGGUGCCAAGCCUCAGUGAGACCCUGCCAGUUGGCACCUCGAGUGCCACCUCAGGGGGCCCUGAGCAGAGUACCCAGCACAGCCUGGCCUGCACUCCUGACUGCAGACUAAGAUAAGAAGUAGGUGUUGCUCUAAGCCGCAAUGUUUGGCAAUUUGUUAGGCCACAUAGAAAACCAGUACACUCCUGAUCAGGUAACACCGUCCUGGCUAUCACCUAACCACCAUCUUUAUCAAAAUGUUUGUUUAGACUCCAGAGCUAAUUCCUUUUAUUGGCUCCAGACUGUAGGGGCUGCUGGGUGAGCUGUUACAUCCUUCUGGGGGCUUCCAUGUCACUGCUGGUGACAUCACUAGGCCAUGGGCCCAUGCAACUGCUACCUGACACUAAACUGUCCCCAAAUGGUGCACAGACUCACCCCCCGCCACCAGAUGGUGCAUAGGCCCACCCCAGAUGGUAUACUGACUCAGCUUCUAGAGGUGCACAACUCACGUCCCAGAUGGUACACACCCCUCCCCCAGAUGGUGCACUGACUCACCCCCCAGAUGGUGUGUAGACUCUACCAUCCCAG